rnacentral:rRNA from 1 species
GUGGGGAAUUGUUCGCAAUGGGCGCAAGCCUGACGACGCAACGCCGCGUGGAGGAUGAAGAUCUUCGGGUCGUAAACUCCUGUCGAGCGGGAAGAACGUUUCGCGGAUGAAUAAGCCGCGGAAGUGACGGUACCGCUAAAGGAAGCCCCGGCUAACUCCGUGCCAGCAGCCGCGGUAAUACGGGGGGGGCAAGCGUUGUUCGGAAUUACUGGGCGUAAAGGGCUCGUAGGUGGCCAACUAAGUCAGACGUGAAAUCCCCAGGCUUAACCUGGGAACUGCGUCUGAUACUGGAUGGCUUGAAUUCGGGAGAGGGAUGCAGAAUUCCAGGUGUAGCGGUGAAAUGCGUAGAUAUCUGGAGGAAUACCGGUGGCGAAGGCGGCAUCCUGGACCGAGAUUGACACUGAGGAGCGAAAGCCAGGGGAGCAAACGGGAUUAGAUACCCGAGUAGUCC